rnacentral:rRNA from 1 species
CUUCUCUGAUGUUAGCGGCGGACGGGUGAGUAACACUGGGUAACCUACCUAUAAGACUGGGAUAACUCCGGGAAACCGGGGCUAAUACCGGAUAANAUUUUGAACCGCAUGGUUCGAUAGUGAAAGACGGUUUCGGCUGUCACUUAUAGAUGGACCCGCGCCGUAUUAGCUAGUUGGUAAGGUAACGGCUUACCAAGGCGACGAUACGUAGCCGACCUGAGAGGGUGAUCGGCCACACUGGAACUGAGACACGGUCCAGACUCCUACGGGAGGCAGCAGGG